AGGAUGAACGCUGGCGGCGUGCCUAACACAUGCAAGUCGAACGUCCUGUCUCGCAAGAGGCAGGGAGUGGCGGACGGGUGAGUACCACGUGGGUCAUCUACCGUGAGGUGAGGAAUACCGGCGAGAAAUCGCCGACAAGACCGCAUAGGCUCGAUGCAAGUCGAGCAAAGCUCUUUCGAGAGAGGGAGCGCCACACGAGGAGCCUGCGCCCGAUUAGCUAGCUGGUGGAGUAACGGUUCACCAGGGCGACGAUCGGUAGCUGGUCUGAGAGGACGAUCAGCCACACUGGGAUUGAGAACGGCCCAGACUCCUACGGGGGGCAGCAGUGAGGAAUUUUCGUCAAUGGGGGCAACCCUGAACGAGCAACGCCGCGUGCAGGAAGAAGGUUUUCGGAUCGUAAACUGCUUUUCUCGGGGAAGAGGAACGGACGGUACCCGAGGAAUCAGCCCCGGCUAACGUACGUGCCAGCAGCCGCGGU
rnacentral:rRNA from 1 species